rnacentral:lncRNA from 12 species
AUGCACAGGAAGGAAGGAGAGUUGCCUGUGGCUCUUGGUGUUGACUGCGCCUUGGUAGAUGAAGCAUCCAGCUCUGCUGUUUGGGGAACAGGCUACUUUUGGGUCCCUCAAUAUCUUCACUUGCUCAGAACCAGAGAGCAAAGGGGACAGGUGAGGAGGGCAGGGGUGCUUACUUCUCUUCAGAUGAUUUGGAGCUUCAGAAAACUGGGUGAGCCAUGAAUACCACAGAAGUUCUGCGGAGGUGGCAAGGACCAAGCACCUGUUGCGGUGACACCGUCGUCCUGGUCAGCACCAGUUGGACCAUUUCCACAAGCAGGUACUGGGUGCAAGGUGCUUUCAGGGCCACCUCACCUGACCCCCUGUCCAUGUGUGAUGUUUGCAGAAGAGGAAGCCAAGCUUAGUGCCAACGACCUGGACUCAGAGUUCAGUCCUUCGAAGCUGAAAGGGAUAUCUUCCCAGGGAGGCUGGGCCUUGACUGCAGAUGGGGUGUAGACCAGCAGAGAGGGAAGAGGGUGGGACUGAGGCGGGCAGGUCUGAGCCCCACAUGGGGCUUGAAUGGGAGGUUUGGGGCAGAAAGAGAGGCCCAAGAAAUGCAACUGGAAACCCUGGAGUUGGAUGAGGCCUCUGGGAUUUUCCAAUCCAGCCUCCUACCUGCAGACAGAGUUCUCCUUAUUCUCAAGUAAAAUUUAUAUUACUGUUCUCUAUGGAUGGCUAUUUCUGUGAUUUGUCUCGUGUAACCAACCACCUGGACUUGCAUGCACACAAGCAGGCUAAGAAAUGUUGUUUAUGAGACUUGUGCCAUGUAAAUGACCUUGGGAACCUGGUUAAAAUAUAUUAUCUGGUUUCUAGGUCAGAACUGGCCGGGACACCAGUUCUGUUCUGGACACCAAGAGCUACGAAUCUGGUCUCAUAUCCCCUCUUGAUCCAGGCUGAGCUGCCUAUCUCCCCACCUCCGUGAAAGGAAACUGGAUGCGGGAAGGCAGACACACACAGCCCAGGCUCCUUGAAACUAUAAAAUUAUGAUUGCAUAGAAAUGCAACUCGCUCCAAACUGCAUGUAGGCCAACAAGUGUUUAACUUCCAACCCUGUCAUUUGCCCCAUAAUAUGGCCCUCAUGGGGAUGGUCAGGUGGAAGUCUCUCACCUGAGGGGAGGAUGCUCCACCCAGGCCUCUUGAUCCAUCAGGACUCCAGCUGCACUGACUCCACCAGGCUUCCCCAGCUGCUGAGGUCGGAUGUUGUAAGUACUGCAUUUGAUGAAACUUUGCCUUAUUCUCAUGUAUUACCUACUAUUCCCUUCAUCUACGUGUAGAUUCCUUUCCUCUUCUAUUAGGUUUCUGUGAUAAUGAUAUAAUUUUUUUUCCUUUUUGAAAUUGAAAACAUAGCUGUUAUGAGUCUUUUUCCCAGAACAAUUACAAAAAUGUGUCCUUCCUUUAUUCUUUUACCUGUUUAAUAGGUAUUCACCUGGUGCCAUCAGUAUGCAGGCAUGGGGUGGCAGGGCAAGCAGGGGAAGCAGGGCAGGCCUGGCUUCUGACCCCCGGGGAGCUGCCCUUGCAGAGGGCCCCAGGCUAUGCAUCCCCAGCUCCUUUAUGGGGCCCCCAGGACACCCCCUCCCUGGUGGGACACCCUGCUGAGACUUCUAGUUCUCUGGGGCAGAAAUCUGUCUCCUGGCAGCCUCUCCACCUUGGCCUUAGAGAGUCCAAGGAAAAGGCCAACUGCAUUAUAAUGUAGAACAACAUCCUAUCUUCUUCAGAAGCUUCCAGUUCCUCUAACUCUUCUCAGGCAGGGCUUCUGCAGACCCACCUGACAUUGAAUCCUGGCUAUCAAGCUCCCUCAAACUCCAGCCUCCAGGAUGCCCAUGAGCCCUCUUUGGCAGAGUCCUUUCUUUUUUCCCUAUCUUUUCUUUGUCCUUUGAAGCAUGUAACAGAGCUCUGCAUCCAUAGCAGAUGUGUGAUAAACACUUGGUGAACUUCAUUGACAUGUCCACUUAGCCAGUUUAUCAGAGCUCUUCCCACAGAUGCUGGGUGAUGCGGGUUCUGUGCCCAGCACCACGAUAGGUCCCCUGGACAUGUCAGCAAUAGAGCAAGCACAUGUCUUGGUGGUAUUCUACUCAUUGCUUAUGUUUGCUUAGCCCUCUGUAUUUGACAGAGUUUUCCCCCAAAUUUUAGUUGAUUUCAUGUCUACUCUAUGGAUUUACAGAUGAGAAGACUGAGGUCCAGCAAGACCUAAUGAUGAACACAAGGUUAUGCCACGGUGCGGGCCACAGCUGUAAGUCAUUCUCAGGUCUUCUUGGGACAUCUAACCCUGUGCUUCCAUCAUGACUUAUCCAAGUCUCCUGUUGAGUUCUAUAGAACAAUUAGGUUAUCCCGCAGUCCACAUUUCAUGGGAGAAUUCUGAUUUCAUUUAAAAAAUUCUUUUAGGGGCUCCUGGGUGGCACAGUCAGUUAAGCUUCUGCCUUCAAUCCCAGGGACCCGGGAUUGAGCCCCACAUUGGGCUCCUUGCUCAGCAGGGAACCUACCUCUCCCUCUCCCUUUGCCUGCAGCUCUGCCUGCUUGUGCUCUCUCUUUCUCUCUCUCUCUGUCAAAUAAAUAAAUAAACAAAAUAUUUUUAAAAAUCCUU